rnacentral:tRNA from 1 species
GCCUGGGUGGCUCAGUCGGUUGAGCGUCCGACUUCGGCUCAGGUCAUGAUCUCAGGGUUCGUGGGUUUGAGCCCCGCAUCGGGCU